UUUCAGUAUCGAAGUCCAAUAACUGACUACUGAGCGAUUGAAACCCUCGGGUACUGAUAGUCAACCACCAAAUACAUAUCCGAUAGCCUAUUGUUUAACUUUUAGCAAAAGGAAUUUAGAGUGUUGUUUGAACAAGUAUAGGAAAGAAGAAAUUUAAGAAUCAGUUCAUAUACCAGCUGCCGGGAAAGGAAAACAAAUGGGCAUUCUACAUUUUGUGGUUAUUUUAUUGACAAUUUAUAUGACAGAACAAACGACUUCAUAUCCUUGUGGUGAGUAAAUAUAUACAGGUAGCUACUGGUAACGUUUUUUUGUGACACUAUGGAAAUUAUGGAAAUAUGUAAGAUUUAGGUAAACAAGACAAUAGUCCCACAAAACAAUUUAACAAAACUUAAGGUAAAAAAGUAGUUUUCAAAAAUAGCCAAGUGCUCAUACUUUAGGUGUAGAAAAAGAGGUGGAAUACUCUUAUAAGUCAACGAGAAAAUGUCAAAGCCAUGACAAUAAAAAAAAAUCGAUGAAACGACAACAAAGUUCACAAUAGUUAUCAAAGGUACUCAUCAAUGACGCUUAAAUUAAAAUAGUUAGAAAGCCAAACAAGUACAAAAUCGAAGAGCAAUGAGGACCCAAAAUUCCAAAAAGUUGUACCAAAUACGGCUAAGGAAAUCUAUAACUGGGAUGACAAAACUUUACAACAGAAGACGCAGCAACACAAACAAGCUCAAAAAGGCAGAUGUCAUAAAAAAAAUACUGCUUCGGCAAUUUUCUACUUUUUGGUGGGGUUGUUGCCUCUUUGACACAUUCCCCAUUUCCGUUCUAUAUUUUGUUAUCGACGUAUCAAAUUAUCUCCUAGUGUAUUUAAUGUUAAUUUAAAAAGGUAUGAUUCCUCAUAAAAAACCGAACUCGUAUUCAUCUGAAUAUUUUCGUUUCUUUCCACAUGAAACACAGUCACGUGGAAACACUUUCAAUACAAGAAAGAGUUGGAGCCGUCCACAUUUACGUUUAGAGAAAGUUAUUUGAUUCAAUUAAUCUGACGGUAAUUAUUUACUUGUGAAAAACAAAUCUUGAAUUAUACACAAAUACAAAAUGGUGAUUUACCCUAAUGUCUCACAUUUUCUAUAUAGUUUUGAAGUUCUUUUAAACAAUUUUUCAUAGUUUUGCAUCAGUGACUAGAAUGUAUCUGGUGCCGACAAAUUGUUACCAUCAAUGAUUUAAAUGUAUUCACAAAUAAAUCAUUACGUUCGUUGUAUGUGAAUCACUUCUGCAUGGCCUGGUGCAAAGGGGGCUAAUGAGUCGGACUUCAUCAAGAAAGAAAAAAAACAUGGUACGGACUCUUAGGUCUGUCUUGAGAAAAAGAGAAACGGGAAUAUAGGAUUGCGUUAACAGACGUAUUAGAACAAUGAUAUGAUUGUUAUGAUUUUAGUACAUAAUUUUAUAUCCAUUUUAUAUACUAGAACAUUUCAUUUAAGGCAACCAGGCAGAUAUUUCAUUUGGGUUUGGACUCAAAAGGGUUACAAGUGAAAGAUUGAAUUAUUUAAAAGAGAAAGUAAGUGAAUUAUAUACAUAGAUAUAGAAAGAUGUGGUAUGAGUGCCAAUGAGACAACUCUCCAACCAAGUAACAAUUUAUAAAAGUAAACCAUUAUAGGUCAAGGUGCAGCCUUCAACACGGAGCCGUGUCUCACACCGAACACCAAUUUAUAAAGGGCCCCAAAAAUUACUAGUGUACAACCAUUUAAACGGGAAAACCAACAGUCUAAUCUAUAUAAAAACGGGAAACGAUAAACACUUAUGAACCACAUAAACAGACGACAACCACUUAACUGAACAUCAUACAUAUUUUACAUUUGGCACAACUUUUUGUAAUUUUGGGUUCUCGAUGCUCUUCAGCUUCAUACUUGUUAAGCUUUUAUCUAUCUCGAUCUGAGAGGCACUGAUGAGUCUUAUGUAGACGAAACGUGCGUUUGGCGUAUUAAGUUAUAAGCCUGGUACCUUUGAUAACUAUUUACACAAGUAAAAUUUACUGCAUGUGCAAGUUAUAUUUUUGGCAUGCUAAUGGAUCGAAAUCAGCUUCCGAGAGUACUUUUUUAUAUAACUAAUUUUUAAAAUCGUAGGUUUCUAAAAUUCAGUCAAGCAUCCUACAUGUAUUUCAAGCUUACUUGUAAUCCGAGACGAGCUGAUAUGCCACCUGCUGAUUUUGCACUAUUAACCUGCCAAUUUUACCCCUAUGUAGAACAACUAAUGUUGUUUCCCUUUGCGCAUUUGCUCUACAAGUAGGUGAGUGAUCUACUGUGUAAUCAUAAUACCUGUCUCUCGGUCAAGCGAAGACUUGAAGCCUUAUAUAUGUCACGGGUAAAUUGUCGAUUGGAAGAUCUUCAAUGCAACACCAUAUAAAAUAGGAAUGUAUCUAAAUUAAUUGUGGAUAUUAUGAACUAUCAUCUUAAAACAAACUUAAAUCUAUUUUUCUUUUUAGAUCAAAUGUAUCGUCACAGAAAUGGAAAAAAUAAAGGAAAGAAACAGACGAGUUCAAUUUGAAAAUAAUCACUAUUAAGGAA
rnacentral:lncRNA from 1 species